GCCUGGGUGGCUAAGUUGGUUAAGCGUCUGCCUUCAGCUCAGGUCAUGAUCCUGGAGUGCCAGGAUCAAAUCCUGUAUCAGGCU
rnacentral:tRNA from 1 species